UGUUCUACCUCCCUGUCGCCCAGCGAUG
rnacentral:sRNA from 1 species